rnacentral:rRNA from 1 species
GACGAACGCUGGCGGCAUGCCUAACACAUGCAAGUCUAGGGGUAGCAAUACCACUGGCGCACGGGUGAGUAACACGUAGGUUAUCUGCCCCCAUCACAGACAUAACCCCGGGAAACCGGGGCUAAUAUCUGAUGAGGUCGCGAGAUCAAAGCUUCGGCGGAUGGGGAUGAGCCUGCGGCUGAUUAGCUAGUUGGUGAGGUAAUGGCUCACCAAGGCGACGAUCAGUAGCUGGUCUGAGAGGACGAACAGCCACACUGGAACUGAGACACGGUCCAGACUCCUACGGGAGGCAGCAAUGAGGAAUAUUGGUCAAUGGGAGCAAUCCUGAACCAGCAAUGCCGCGUGUGGGAUGACAGGGCUUCGCCUUGUAAACCACUGUCGGACGGGACGAAAGGAGGCCUCGGGCCUCUGGGACGGUACCGUCAAAGGAAGGGUCGGCUAACUACGUGCCAGCAGCCGCGGUAAU